GUCGGAUAGAAUAUCAUCACCUUCGGAACUAUCAUCAUGAUGAACGAAUAGCUGCUGAUGAUGAUUUAUAGCGAUUAAUCUUCGAUCUACACAUAACUAAAAUUUGGUUGGACGAUGACAUAGAAUUCAUGACGAUUAUCGACCUGUACUCUCGACACGGACCACUUUACUGUUCUACAGCGAACUAUGGACUAUCACAACUAUCGAUUCACGAAUGAUUGCCAGGACGAAUAUCGUUCGCAGAGAACACACCGACACUCCGUCCCGCAUCAUCUGCUAAUUCGUACGAGCAACUGCCUCGUUUCGCAAUGAUGGUGCACGGUGUAUAUAAUGGGCCGUACUUUGCAUUAUAAUGCUCCACCGCAGAAGAUUGCCGGAAGUUACGCCUGAACACCUUCUGGCCAAUCUGCUUGUGCCUCAACUUCCGUUUCAUAUUGUCUCGCGAUUCAGCGCUUGAAAACUCGACAUUGCGAAUCAUCAGCUCAUGCUCCAAUUCAUCAUCGAGUAGAUGAUCUGCGUUCAUAGAACGGUAUUGUAGGAGUAAGGAUUCAGAGUUCAUGCUAAAUACUAAAUUAGGCACUAAUUAUAAUAAGUUUCAAAUUCAAGUAAUACUAAGCAAAAAUUCAAAUUAACUAAUACUAAGACAAAAAUUCAAAUUCAAUUCAAUUGCAACUUAUAAAUAAUGAAAAAUCAUGAAAAUAAAUGUAGUAGAAUGUGUGGUUUAUGUGUGUUUUUAUGUUCAAUUCAGGACCUUUUCAAUUCAGCUACCAAUUUGGUUUUACUUGUGUAAAUUAUCGAGGCAAUUACUUUAAAAAUUUUAACUACUUUUGUUUGACGCAGAAAAUUUUGCGCUCUUUUCCGACUUACCAAUCGGCCACUGUCUUUCAAUUUGAAAAAUUUUCUAAUUUAUUUCGAACGGCGUUAGAAAGUGCACGGAUGCUACGCAAACCGUUAGGUUGCGUACUCUCCUGCCGCCUGUUAAAAAAUCCUUAGAUUUUUAAAUUCUACACGAUCCUCCGAUUACCUUUCGUGUGUUGUAAUUGGGCGCCAAGUUUUACCCUUCUCUAGCUCGCGGUAAACUUUUCAAUAGCAAGUGACCCCUCGAACUGGGUCUCAAGGUCGGCUUACUACUGGGCAAUCGGAGGGGCUUCGCGAACAACGUGCAGUUUAUUGUCACCUUUCUCGUGUUAGUUGAAAAUGAAUUCUAUUGUAGAUGAAAACUAUGGAUUUAUUUAAUAUACUAUUUCUGAAGUGUGGGUGGAAAUUAAUUUGGAAAAACUAUUGAUUUUCAAUGUGUUGUGGGUGGUUUAUUGGUAAUUGUGGGAUGAGGGACGUACCGGUACUGCUGCUGUUGAAGUCGCGUUGCUGGUGUUCUUGAAGACGAUGGACGAGCGCUCGCCGAAGAUCUUGUCGCCGUCUGGUUGGGCCUCCGGCGGGGUGGUGGUCGUAGUCGGAAGGAGUAUCUGGUGGAUCGGAUAGCAGAUCGUCUUGGCUUGACGGUGCGAUCUGCUUCUCACGCUGGCGUCUUCCCUCUUUGGCUUACAUCGACAGAGCCCAGGACGAUACCGGAAUGACUCUGUCGAGAGGGGUCCUCUUUUACGGUUAGGGCACCGAUUCGGGCCCGAGGAAUCGCUCUUUGACGAAUUAUAGCCGCGCACGGCUAGAGCGUUUCGAUGUCCUUUACGGUUUAGGCGUAGUGGCCAGCUAAGGACCACUAGGCCGAUCGUGUGCUUCGCCAACCGUAGGUUGGCCUACAAAAUGGCGUUGUACCGUGAG